CGAACGAACCGCGGGAGCUUCCACCUCAUGGGGCUGAGAGGGCGGCUGGGCAUCGGGCCCGGGGCCGCCGACCGCCGAACCUGUCCGGGUAAUGCCGGCGUAGGGAGCUUUCUCAUGGCGCAG
rnacentral:ncRNA from 1 species